GCCACCUCCCAUCCGUGUCUAUUGUACCCUGUUGCUUCGGCGGGCCCGCCGCUUGUCGGCCGCCGGGGGGGCGCCUCUGCCCCCCGGGCCCGUGCCCGCCGGAGACCCCAACACGAACACUGUCUGAAAGCGUGCAGUCUGAGUUGAUUGAAUGCAAUCAGUUAAAACUUUCAACAAUGGAUCUCUUGGUUCCGGCAUCGAUGAAGAACGCAGCGAAAUGCGAUAACUAAUGUGAAUUGCAGAAUUCAGUGAAUCAUCGAGUCUUUGAACGCACAUUGCGCCCCCUGGUAUUCCGGGGGGCAUGCCUGUCCGAGCGUCAUUGCUGCCCUCAAGCCCGGCUUGUGUGUUGGGUCGCCGUCCCCCUCUCCGGGGGGACGGGCCCGAAAGGCAGCGGCGGCACCGCGUCCGAUCCUCGAGCGUAUGGGGCUUUGUCACAUGCUCUGUAGGAUUGGCCGGCGCCUGCCGACGUUUUCCAACCAUUCUUUCCAGGUUGACCUCGGAUCAGGUAGGGAUACCCGCUGAACUUAAGCAUAUCAAUAAGGCGGAGGA
rnacentral:rRNA from 1 species